GUGGAGAUGGCCGAGUUGGUAUAAGGCGUCAGAUUAAGGUUUUGGUCUGAAAGGGCGUGGGUUCAAAUCCCACUCUCCACA
rfam:Ipomoea nil DNA, scaffold: scaffold1770, cultivar: Tokyo-kokei standard.